rnacentral:rRNA from 1 species
AGAGUUUGAUCCUGGCUCAGAACGAACGCUGGCGGCAGGCCUAAUACAUGCAAGUCGAGCGCGCCCUUCGGGGUGAGCGGCGGACGGGUGAGUAACGCGUGGGAAUAUGCCCUUCUCUAAGGAAUAGCCUCGGGAAACUGAGAGUAAUACCUUAUACGCCCUUCGGGGGAAAGAUUUAUCGGAGAAGGAUUAGCCCGCGUUAGAUUAGGUAGUUGGUGGGGUAAUGGCCUACCAAGCCUACGAUCUAUAGCUGGUUUGAGAGGAUGAUCAGCCACACUGGGACUGAGACACGGCCCAGACUCCUACGGGAGGCAGCAGUAGGGAAUCUUAGACAAUGGGGGAAACCCUGAUCUAGCCAUGCCGCGUGUGUGAUGAAGGCCUUAGGGUCGUAAAGCACUUUCGCCAGAGAUGAUAAUGACAGUAUCUGGUAAAGAAACCCCGGCUAACUCCGUGCCAGCAGCCGCGGUAAUACGGAGGGGGUUAGCGUUGUUCGGAAUUACUGGGCGUAAAGCGUACGUAGGCGGAUUAGUAAGUUAGAGGUGAAAUCCCAGGGCUCAACCCUGGAACUGCCUUUAAUACUGCUAGUCUUGAGUUCGAGAGAGGUAAGUGGAAUUCCGAGUGUAGAGGUGAAAUUCGUAGAUAUUCGGAGGAACACCAGUGGCGAAGGCGGCUUACUGGCUCGAUACUGACGCUGAGGUACGAAAGUGUGGGGAGCAAACAGGAUUAGAUACCCUGGUAGUCCACACCGUAAACGAUGAAUGCCAGACGUCAGCAGGUAUACUU